AUGAACGCUGGCGGCGUGCCUAAUACAUGCCAGUCGAGCGAACAGACGAGGAGCUUGCUCCUCUGACGUUAGCGGCGGACGGGUGAGUAACACGUGGAUAACCUACCUAUAAGACUGGGAUAACUUCGGGAAACCGGAGCUAAUACCGGAUAAUAUAUUGAACCGCAUGGUUCAAUAGUGAAAGACGGUUUUGCUGUCACUUAUAGAUGUAUCCGCGCCGCAUUAGCUAGUUGGUAAGGUAACGGCUUACCAAGGCAACGAUGCGUAACCGACCUGAGAGGGUGAUCGGCCACACUGGAACUGAGACACGGUCCAGACUCCUACGGGAGGCAGCAGUAGGGAAUCUUCCGCGAUGGGCGAAAGCCUGACGGAGCAACGCCGCGUGAGUGAUGAAGGUCUUCGGAUCGUAAAACUCUGUUAUUAGGGAAGAACAAAUGUGUAAGUAACUAUGCACGUCUUGACGGUACCUAAUCAGAAAGCCACGGCUAACUACGUG
rnacentral:rRNA from 1 species